UCCCUGCUGGUCUAGCGGCUAAGGAUCCCGCAGUCUCACCACUGCCACCCGGGUUCAAUUCCCGGGCAGGGAA